rnacentral:rRNA from 1 species
AGUGAACGCUGGCGGUAGGCCUAACACAUGCAAGUCGAACGGCAGCACAGUAAGAGCUUGCUCUUACGGGUGGCGAGUGGCGGACGGGUGAGGAAUACAUCGGAAUCUACUUUUUCGUGGGGGACAACGUAGGGAAACUUACGCUAAUACCGCAUACGAACUACGGGUGAAAGCAGGGGAUCUUCGGACCUUGCGCGAUUGAAUGAGCCGAUGUCGGAUUAGCUAGUUGGCGGGGUACAGGCCCACCAAGGCGACGAUCCGUAGCUGGUCUGAGAGGAUGAUCAGCCACACUGGAACUGAGACACGGUCCAGACUCCUACGGGAAGCAGCAGUGGGGAAUAUUGGACAAUGGGCGCAAGCCUGAUACAGCCAUACCGCGUGGGUGAAGAAGGCCUUCGGGUUGUAAAGCCCUUUUGUUGGGAAAGAAAAGCAGCAGGUUAAUACCCCGCUGUUCUGACGGUACCCUAAGAAUAAGCACCGGCUAACUUCGUG